UUGUGGCAGGCACAUCGAUGGGCAGUGCCAUCUAUGAGGCAAAAACCGAAAGUGUCGCCAUCUAGUGGUCAGUUGGGUGCCGCGAUUGGGGUAAGAAUUUUCGGAGACGAAGAGGCAACAGCGUCAAUUGUCAUGAUCCCGGAAAACGGAGAGUUAUUCUAGGGGGGCUAACUUAGCUUCCCGCCCAGAGCCACGAGCUGCUGGCUUUCUUUCCCUUUUCGGCAGCCAUCGAGUGCGGUUUAGUUCAAUUUGGCCUUGUGUAAAGUGACGGAUAGAAUUCCCAGAUUAUAUAUAGCGCUGAAUCCUGUUUAUGGGUUUGGCGCUUAGUAUCCGAUAUUGGAUC